rnacentral:rRNA from 1 species
AGAUUGAACGCUGGCGGCAUGCCUUACACAUGCAAGUCGAACGGUAGAGUAGCAAUACUCGAGAGUGGCGAACGGGUGAGUAAUAUAUCGGAACGUGCCCAGUCGUGGGGGAUAACGUAGAGAAAUUUACGCUAAUACCGCAUACGACCUACGGAUGAAAGCGGGGGAUCGCAAGACCUCGCGCGAUUGGAGCGGCUGAUAUCAGAUUAGGUUGUUGGUGAGGUAAAAGCUCACCAAGCCGACGAUCUGUAGCUGGUUUGAGAGAACGACCAGCCACACUCGGGACUGAGACGACGCCCAGACUCCUACGGGAGCAGCGAGGUGGGAAUUUUGGAACAAGUAGGGACGAAAGCCGUAGAC